AGAGUUUGAUCCUGGCUCAGGACGAACGCUGGCGGCACGCUUAACACAUGCAAGUCGAACGGGAGAAGAGGAGCUUGCUUUUCUGAUCUAGUGGCGGACGGGUGAGUAACACGUGAGCAAUCUGCCUUUCAGAGGGGGAUACCGAUUGGAAACGAUCGUUAAUACCGCAUAACAUAAUUGAACCGCAUGAUUUGAUUAUUAAAGAUUUAUCGCUGAAAGAUGAGCUCGCGUCUGAUUAGCUAGUUGGUAAGGUAACGGCUUACCAAGGCGACGAUCAGUAGCCGGACUGAGAGGUUGAUCGGCCACAUUGGGACUGAGAUACGGCCCAGACUCCUACGGGAGGCAGCAGUGGGGAAUAUUGCACAAUGGAGGAAACUCUGAUGCAGCGAUGCCGCGUGAGGGAAGAAGGUUUUAGGAUUGUAAACCUCUGUCUUCAGGGACGAAAAAAGACGGUACCUGAGGAGGAAGCUCCGGCUAACUACGUGCCAGCAGCCGCGGUAAUACGUAGGGAGCGAGCGUUGUCCGGAAUUACUGGGUGUAAAGGGAGCGUAGGCGGGAUCGCAAGUCAGAUGUGAAAACUAUGGGCUUAACCCAUAAACUGCAUUUGAAACUGUGGUUCUUGAGUGAAGUAGAGGUAAGCGGAAUUCCUAGUGUAGCGGUGAAAUGCGUAGAUAUUAGGAGGAACAUCAGUGGCGAAGGCGGCUUACUGGGCUUUAACUGACGCUGAGGCUCGAAAGCGUGGGGAGCAAACAGGAUUAGAUACCCUGGUAGUCCACGCCGUAAACGAUGAUUACUAGGUGUGGGGGGACUGACCCCUUCCGUGCCGCAGCAAACGCAAUAAGUAAUCCACCUGGGGAGUACGACCGCAAGGUUGAAACUCAAAGGAAUUGACGGGGGCCCGCACAAGCAGUGGAGUAUGUGGAUUAAUUCGAAGCAACGCGAAGAACCUUACCAGGUCUUGACAUCGUAUGCAUAGCUCAGAGAUGAGUGAAAUCUCUUCGGAGACAUAUAGACAGGUGGUGCAUGGUUGUCGUCAGCUCGUGUCGUGAGAUGUUGGGUUAAGUCCCGCAACGAGCGCAACCCUUACUGUUAGUUGCUACGCAAGAGCACUCUAGCAGGACUGCCGUUGACAAAACGGAGGAAGGUGGGGAUGACGUCAAAUCAUCAUGCCCCUUAUGACCUGGGCCUCACACGUACUACAAUGGCUGUCAACAGAGGGAAGCAAAGCCGCGAGGUGGAGCGAACCCCUAAAAGCAGUCUUAGUUCGGAUUGUAGGCUGCAACCCGCCUACACGAAGUCGGAAUUGCUAGUAAUCGCAGAUCAGCAUGCUGCGGUGAAUACGUUCCCGGGCCUUGUACACACCGCCCGUCACGCCAUGGGAGUCGGUAACACCCGAAGCCUGUAGUCUAACCGCAAGGAGGACGCAGUCGAAGGUGGGAUUGAUGACUGGGGUGAAGUCGUAACAAGGUA
rnacentral:rRNA from 1 species